GUUGGGAGCUGGACUUUCUAGUUACAAUUCCCGGUUGUACUUUGUACUUGCAGCUCCCAACUGCAGCAUAUGAUUCAGCACAACUGCAGCAUAUGAUUACUGCAUAUGUACACGUAUAGAAGUACACUAACUAAUUUACUCACUUACUGAUAAUCACACACACACACGCUGGUGCAUCUGCUGUGCAUACCUCAAGGAUGCUCGCAGCCCAGAUGCAGCUACCUGUGCAGCCGUGUUGCACGCGUGCAAGUGGUUGUUUACAUUCUUUUACCGCAUGGAGCGGCAUUGGCACAUUAGCGCAACUGGCUCGUCAGCGAUGGUGCUGCAUACCAUGCGCGUCUCUUAUUGAUUGAAAACACUUAUAGUAAUGCUGCGCACUUAUAAUAUACAAAUUAUUUGUCAACUUAUCGAGUAGUUUAAUUGCUUAACUGGAUUGUGCACGGCUUAUAUAUAAUUGUGAAACUUGACAUGCGCCCAAUGGUUGGAGUACUGUACGGAUGGAUGGAUGGUACUGUACUAUAUGGAUACUACUGUACACUGUACAGUUAUAUUGGUUUACUUUCACUGCUUGAUUCAACAAGUUGUUUACAUUCUUUUACACUAUGGAGGAGCACUUUAACGCAUCUGGCUCGUCAAAGCCUUUCAACGCAUAUCUACUGCGUGCAUGCUUAUGCGUGCGUGCAGAUCAACUGGAAAAAGUCCGCCAGGGUCGUUGCAAAAUUUUUUCCACUGGAGCCAAAGCCACGUUUCUGUUAACGAUUACUCCGCUAAUUGCAGAAUUUAUGAAUUUCUUGUACACGAAUUUCGGGGCUGCUAUAAACUACGAGGGUUUGAGUGGAAAAAGUUGGCCUGAACUUCUCAAAGAAUUUUUCCACCUUGUCAACGAAAGGAAAAUCAUCGCCGUACAACCUUGAAGCCGGACUCGCAUGGCCGGAAAUAUUUCAGUUUCCGGUAAUAGUGAUCCAAUAACGCGAGAGCAUCACUGAUGGACUUUGCACCAUUAACUGUGAUCUUGCCGUUGCGGUACACUUGGCAGUGCGAUUUGUAAGGACGAAUGGAACGGAGAAGAAGCCCGGAAAAUUUAUGUGGUGCAUAAUGAGCAAGCGGAGCGCGUUCGGAUAAGCUGGGUAAGUCAAUUGCGCAGCCAAGGUCAGCAGUUGCAACAACGUUAGUUAUUUUCGCCAUUCAGCCAAUUUGCAAAUGUCUCCGCUUUUGAAAGCGUUGUUUGUGGUAAUGAAGUAAGCUCCUUAAACUUCGGGCACCCAAUGUCUUCAAGAUUAAACACUUCAGGCAAAUAAUUUUCCGAAAUCUUUUGCUUUUCCAAUCCUUUGGCAAAAAACGUCAAACGCGCAGGUCGUUCACCAAUAAGCUCCAGCAUAUCCUGAAUCGCCCUGGCGAUGUCCAAGUAUAAAUAAUCUCCACGAUUAUGCCAGACAAGUCCGUGUGAGUGACGCGAUUGGCUCCUAAAUUCAACGCGGUAAGGAUUAAAGUGGGAUGGAAUGGUGAAUGUGUAGCACCUGCUAACACUAGUUGGGCAAUCACAAAAUGCCAGCUGUUUUAUAAGCCGUUGGGAGCCAGCGAUAAACCAAUCAAUAUCUAAGACAACCCUCCGCUUUGAAGUCUCCAUUCUGUUAUCGGUACGCUAGCAAUAGCUCCGCCCUUUGGAAAUGGAUUCCUUAAAUAGGUAUCCGCGCACGACAGCUGAUUUGAGAUUCCGACUACCCGCUUCAGUCCUUGUUGUGGGGCCAACGACUUCGGGGAAAACGACAUAUGUGUCAAAAUUAAUUAUGGAGCGCGAUAAAUUAUUUGACCAACCAUUUGGACGAAUUAUUUUGGUGUACGGAGAAAUGCAGCCAGCCUACGAAGUGCUUCAGCGCAAAGUCCCUUGGAUUGAACUGACAAAAAAUAUUCAACAAAUUGUGGAGGAUGAAAAUUAUUUUGAUGGUAAACAAAAUAUUUUGUUGAUACUGGAUGACGUGGCAAGUGGUUUGGUGAAAAAUGAGCAUUUGGCUAAACUCUUCACUCAAAAAGUACACCAUAAACGGCUUUGUGUAUUUCUAUUAUUCAAUAACCUAUAUAAACAAGGGUCUGCUAUGCGAGACGUGCAUCUUAAUGCACAAUAUCUUAUACUGUUCAAAAAUAAUCGUGAUGUGAACCAAAUCAAGAUUCUAGAAAGGCAGACUGGUUUAAAACAUCUCAGCGGAGCUUACGAGGAAGUCGGCCAGGAACCAUUUCAACCUCUCAUUCUGGAUAUGAAACCGGACACACCUGCCUAUUUAAGGAUUCGUUCAGCAAUAUUACCGGGAGAGUUGACUAAAAUUUACAUUAAUCCACAUACGACAACCUUGCCCAAGAAUGUGUGAUCAGAUUUUAAAAGACUUUGCACCGUUUCUCCUUACCCUGCGAUCGCUGAAACCCAAGCAGCGUCGUUUUCUUUUGGAAAAUAUUUCGAAACGACAACUUCGCUGUUUUGAAGAAAUUUGUUUGAAUUUGGUAAAGAAUUCAGUGCCUCUUACCACCGAUCAGCUAAAGGUGUGUCAGCGUUGGCGUCGACCAUUAAAGCUGAUUGCCCUCAAAAAAUAUCCUUUACGAAGCAAGAGGGAAAUUUUAUUACAGCGCGGAGGAUUCUUACCUGCGGUUCUACCUGUAUUGGCAGCUGUUUUGGGAACUGCCUUACUGAAAUGAAACCGGAAGUGCAUUAUAUUGUUCCCGCGAGCGAAAUGAAAAGACUUGCAAGUGACACGGUUGGUCGUAUUGUAACGGAUGUCCAAUUACAACAGCAGCCCACUGCAGUUGUGGAUAUUGUAAAACUGGACGAUUUGAUGAGAGAUAUAAUUUCACGGAAUACGCUAAGCGAAUGGGAGAAAGCGGAACUGUUAUCAAGAAACUUGGCUCGCUUUUUGGCGCUGAAAGAGUCGGCGUUCGGCCCUGACCAAAUGGUUAUUCCGCCUCCAGCAUCUGUGCCCCCCAUUCCAGUACAACUAUUAAAGAAGCCGUGGGUACCCCCUAAUAUGCCUGAUCGUAUGUUAGAUG